UAUAAAACAUGGCAACCAAGGCCUCCUUUCCUUCCUUUCAAAACCUGGCAAACCUAACCCUCCUCUCCCUUUCCUUCCUCUAUAAAAGCCUCCUCUCCCUUUCCUUCCUCUAUAAAACCUGGCAACCAAGGCCUCCUUUCCCUUUCCUUCCUUUCAAAACCUGGCAACCCUAACCCUGCUCUCCCUUUCCUUCCUCUACAAAACCUGGCAACCAAGGCCUCCUUUCCUUCCUUUCAAAACCUGGCAACCCUAACCCUCCUCUCCCUUUCCUUCCUCUAUAAAACCCUGCUCUCCCUUUCCUUCCUCUACAAAACCUGGCAACCAAGGCCUCCUUUCCCUUUCCUUCCUUUCAAAACCUGGCAACCCUAACCCUGCUCUCCCUUUCCUUCCUCUACAAAACCUGGCAACCAAGGCCUCCUUUCCCUUUCCUUCCCCUAUCGAAACCUUGUCACUGACACGGAGGUCGCUUGCACCAUCUGUAAUCCAGAGGUCGCUUGCACCAUCUGUAAUCCAGAGGUCGCUUGCACCAUCUGUAAUCCAGAGGUCGCUUGCACCAUCUGUAAUCCAGAGGUCGCUUGCACCAUCUGUAAUCCAGAGGUCGCUUGCACCAUCUGUAAUCCAGAGGUCGCUUGCACCAUCUGUAAUCCAGAGGUCGCUUGCACCAUCUGUAAUCCAGAGGUCGCUUGCACCAUCUGUAAUCCAGAGGUCGCUUGCACCAUCUGUAAUCCAGAGGUCGCUUGCACCAUCUGUAAUCCAGAGGUCGCUUGUACCAUCUGUAAUCCAGAGGUCGCGGUUGGUUGAAAGCAUAGUGAUAACACUGGGAUUUGUCUUUUAGGAGGCUGGUUGAAAGCAUAGUGAUAACACUGGGAUUUGUCUUUUAGGAGGCUGGUUGAAAGCAUAGUGAUAACACUGGGAUUUGUCUUUUAGGAGGCUGGUUGAAAGCAUAGUGAUAACACUGGGAUUUGUCUUUUAGGAGGCUGGUUGAAAGCAUUAGUGGUAACACUGGGAUUUGUCUUUUAGGCGGUUGGUUGACAGCAUAGUGAUAACACUGGGAUUUGUCUUUUAGGCGGUUGGUUGAAAGCAUAGUGAUAACACUGGGAUUUGUCUUUUAGGAGGCUGGUUGAAAGCAUAGUGAUAACACUGGGAUUUCCACUACUUCUGGCUGUCUUUUUGAGUGAGAAGAUAAAGGUUGAAAUCUGAUUGAGGUGAAAGUAGAAUCCAUUUCUUCCCGGUACGGGACCUCCUACGUGUGCAAGCGCUCGUAAAACAAUCCCUUCCCAGGUCUCCUUUACUAGGCUGUCCGUGCUCAUCCACUCACAACAUAUUACCUCCCAGCAGCGUUCGUAAAACAAUCCCUUCCCAGGUCUCCUUUAGUAGGCUGUCCGUGCUCAUCCACUCACAACAUAUUACCUCCCAGCAGCGUUCGUAAAACAAUCCCUUCCCAGGUCUCCUUUACUAGGCUGUCCGUGCUCAUCCACUCACAACAUAUUACCUCCCAGCAGCGUUCGUAAAACAAUCCCUUCCCAGGUCUCCUUUACUAGGCUGUCCGUGCUCAUCCACUCACAACGUAUUACCUCCCAGCAGCGCUCGUAAAACAAUCCCUUCCCAGAUCUCCUUUACUAGGCUGUCCGCGCUCAUCCACUCACAACAUAUUACCUCCCAGCAGCGCUCGUAAAACAAUCCCUUCCCAGAUCUCCUUUACUAGGCUGUCCGCGCUCAUCCACUCACAACAUAUUACCUCCCAGCAGCGUUCGUAAAACAAUCCCUUCCCAGAUCUCCUUUACUAGGCUGUCCGUGCUCAUCCACUCACAACGUAUUACCUCCCAGCAGCGCUCGUAAAACAAUCCCUUCCCAGAUCUCCUUUACUAGGCUGUCCGUGCUCAUCCACUCACAACAUAUUACCUCCCAGCAGCGUUCGUAAAACAAUCCCUUCCCAGAUCUCCUUUACUAGGCUGUCCGUGCUCAUCCACUCACAACGUAUUACCUCCCAGCAGCGUUCGUAAAACAAUCCCUUCCCAGGUCUCCUUUACUAGGCUGUCCGCGCUCAUCCACUCACAACGUAUUACCUCCCAGCAGCGUUCGUAAAACAAUCCCUUCCAAGGUCUCCUUUACUAGGCUGUCCGUGCUCAUCCACUCACAACGUAUUACCUCCCAGCAGCGUUCGUAAAACAAUCCCUUCCCAGGUCUCCUUUACUAGGCUGUCCGUGCUCAUCCACUCACAACGUAUUACCUCCCAGCAGCGCUCGUAAAACAAUCCCUUCCAAGGUCUCCUUUACUAGGCUGUCCGUGCUCAUCCACUCACAACGUAUUACCUCCCAGCAGCGCUCGUAAAACAAUCCCUUCCCAGGUCUCCUUUACUAGGCUGUCCGUGCUCAUCCACUCACAACGUAUUACCUCCCAGCAGCGCUCGUAAAACAAUCCCUUCCAAGGUCUCCUUUACUAGGCUGUCCGUGCUCAUCCACUCACAACGUAUUACCUCCCAGCAGCGCUCGUAAAACAAUCCCUUCCCAGGUCUCCUUUACUAGGCUGUCCGCGCUCAUCCACUCACAACGUAUUACCUCCCAGCAGCGUUCGUAAAACAAUCCCUUCCCAGGUCUCCUUUACUAGGCUGUCCGCGCUCAUCCACUCACAACGUAUUACCUCCCAGCAGCGGGGAAUGGAAAGAGACGUCUGUUACACGAAACACCAAGAAGUGUAAAGACAGAAUGAAUGUGUCCACUGCUGUCCGCGGGCCUUUCAGACACUCUUCUCUGCCUUGGCAAAAUGUCAGUGUUCUCGUCCACCCACAUGGCGUUUUGGAGCGUAGGCUAUACCACCCGUUUUCAUGUCCAUUUGCUCAUUUCUCAUGCAUCUGACAUGCGGUAAUGAUAAAUAAGGGUGUAAUAUCCUACAGUUUUCUAGACACCAAAUAUGACCCACAUUUCCUCGUUGAAAUGACGUGGUGCCCAUUGGGAAGCUACAGAUGCAGGAUCUUCAUUUUGAGUUUGCUACAGUGGGAAAAUAAUCCUGCAACAACAGGGAAUCUGAAUUAUUAUGUGGAUUAUAAUUUCUUGUAGGGGUUGAUACAUUUUACAUUAGGGCAAAAUAAGUCUGACAUUUUAAAGUGGAAAUUACAAACUUUAGAAGCCUUUGUAAACCUCGAAUACACUGCAAGUUUUCAUUUCCUGCUGUGCAGGAAAAUUCUCAGCAACAGAAGACGGAUCAAAUGAAGAUCCUCCAUCUCUGUAUUGUAUAUCUGCAUAAUGGUUUCUAUGGUACAGCAGUAGGGGAACAUAGAACAAAGACGCUGUCCCCCGCUGCUCCUCUCCUCUGUAAAACAACCCGCUCUGUGUAUCAGGUAGAACAUUGAAGUGACGCUGAUGGGAAUGCAACACAGCACAACGCCUGUAGUGGAGCUGAAGUGUAACCCUCCCUCCCUCUUUCCCUAGUUGGACCUAACCCUCCUUUCCCUCUCCAGAUAAACCUAGCAACCCUACCCUCCCCCAAACCAAACCUGGCAACCCUACCCUACCCUCCCCCAAACCAAACC